UACGUAGGGUGCAAGCGUUGUCCGGAAUUAUUGGGCGUAAAGAGCUCGUAGGCGGUCUGUCGCGUCUGCUGUGAAAACUCGGGGCUUAACCCCGGGCCUGCAGUGGGUACGGGCAGACUAGAGUGCGGUAGGGGAGACUGGAAUUCCUGGUGUAGCGGUGAAAUGCGCAGAUAUCAGGAGGAACACCGGUGGCGAAGGCGGUUCUCUGGGCCUUACCUGACGCUGAGGAGCGAAAGCAUGGGGAGCAAACAGG
rnacentral:rRNA from 1 species